UACGAAGGGGGCUAGCGUUGCUCGGAAUCACUGGGCGUAAAGGGCGCGUAGGCGGCGUUUUUAAGUCGGGGGGUGAAAGCCUGUGGCUCAACCACAGAGUGGCCUUCGAUACUGGGGACGCUUGAGUAUGGUAGAGGUUGGUGGAACUGCGAGUGUAGAGGUGAAAUUCGUAGAUAUUCGCAAGAACACCGGUGGCGAAGGCGGCCAACUGGAC
rnacentral:rRNA from 1 species